GUUCUCACGCAGGGCGGCUCCUAGUGUCUCUCCUCUUGGGGCGUCCACCCCGCCCUGCCCCUCCGCCGUGACUCAGCAGGAAGGCGCGACCCGACUGGGCCGGAAGGGCCGAGCCAAGUCACCCCCUCCAGGUCCACGCCACUGAGCGUGUGGGACUGGGAGGAGGAUUUGGGGGCAGAGCACGAAUCACUGCUCCAAAUCUCUUGGCUGUUGAUUUGUUCAGUGGCUUAUCACGGGACUUGCCUUGAAGGAGGAGAUGAGCACACAUCCUUCUACUUCACCAUCCUGAACCAGAAGCCCCGACUCCUGAAUUCUUCAGCAUUGUCAUUCCUUUCCCUCCUCUAGCCCUCAUCCCUCCAAUGACACAGUAGGUUGCAGGGCGCUCCCUGACAAAUGGAGACAAAACCGAUACUGCCAAGAGCUGAUGGAGUUUGGAGCAUAAGUGUCUGCCUCGUUCUUUGGCUGGCAGCCAGGACUUGGGUUUGGAGCCUGUGGGAAGCAGAACAAUGCCUUCCCCUCAAAGAUGUCCAUGUCCUAAUCCCUGGAGCUGGUGAAAAUGACUUUACAUGGUUAAAAAGA